rnacentral:rRNA from 1 species
GAGUUUGAUCGUGGCUCAGAUUGAACGCUGGCGGCAUGCCUUACACAUGCAAGUCGAGCGGCAGCGCGGGGGCAACCCUGGCGGCGAGCGGCGAACGGGUGAGUAAUACAUCGGAACGUGUCCAGUAGUGGGGGAUAACCAGUCGAAAGAUUGGCUAAUACCGCAUACGAUCUACGGAUGAAAGCGGGGGACCGCAAGGCCUCGCGCUAUUGGAGCGGCCGAUGUCGGAUUAGCUAGUUGGCGGGGUAAAAGCCCACCAAGGCGACGAUCCGUAGCUGGUCUGAGAGGACGAUCAGCCACACUGGAACUGAGACACGGUCCAGACUCCUACGGGAGGCAGCAGUGGGGAAUUUUGGACAAUGGGGGCAACCCUGAUCCAGCCAUGCCGCGUGAGUGAAGAAGGCCUUCGGUUGUAAGACUCUUUCGGUCCGGGACGAAGUCGCACCUUCUAAUACAAGGUAGUGGAGUGACGGUACCGG